CCUACGGUGUGCAGCAGUGAGGAAUAUUGGUCAAUGGACGAGAGUCUGAACCAGCCAAGUAGCGUGAAGGAUGACUGCCCUAUGGGUUGUAAACUUCUUUUAUAUGGGAAUAAAAUGUUCCACGUGUGGGAUUUUGUAUGUACCAUAUGAAUAAGGAUCGGCUAACUCCGGGCCAGCAGCCGCGGUAAUACGGAGGAUCCGAGCGUUAUCCGGAUUUAUUGGGAUUAAGGGUAGCGUAGGUGGAGUGUUAAGUAAGUUGUGAAAGUUUGCGGCUCAAACGUAAAAUUGCAGUUGAAACGGGCAGUCUUGAGUACAGUAGAGGUGAGCGGAAUUCGUGGUGUAGCGGUGAAAUGCGUAGAUAUCACGAAGAACUCCGAUGGCGAAGGCAGCUCACUGGACUGCAACUGACACUGAGGCUCGAAAGUGUGGGUAUCAAACAGGAUUAGAUACCCUUGUAGUC
rnacentral:rRNA from 1 species